CUACGGGUCGCACCAGUGGGGAAUAUUGGACAAUGGGGGAAACCCUGAUCCAGCGAUGCCGCGUGAGUGACGAAGGCCUUCGGGUUGUAAAACUCUUUCACCUGUGAAGAUAAUGACGGUAGCAGGAGAAGAAGCACCGGCAAACUCUGUGCCAGCAGCCGCGGUAAUACAGAGGGUGCUAGCGUUGUUCGGAAUGACUGGGCGUAAAGAGCUCGUAGGCGGUUAUAUAAGUCGUACGUGAAAUCCCUGGGCUUAACCCAGGAACUGCGUUCGAUACUGUAUGACUUGAGUUCAGGAGAGGAAAGCGGAAUUCCUAGUGUAGAGGUGAAAUUCGUAGAUAUUAGGAGGAACAUCAGAGGCGAAGGCGGCUUUCUGGACUGAUACUGACGCUGAGGAGCGAAAGCGUGGGGAGCAAACAGGAUUAGAUACCCCAGUAGUC
rnacentral:rRNA from 1 species